rnacentral:snRNA from 1 species
GUACUCACAUGGGUAGCUCAUAUACUACAAUUGGAAUGGUCCAGAUUAGCAUAGUCCCUGCACAAGGAUGACACACAAAUUCAUGAAGUGCUCCAUAUUUUU